AUAUCAGUCAUGCAUAGCAUAUCAAUAAGCGGAGGAAAAGAAACUAACAAGGAUUCCCUUAGUAACGGCGAGUGAAGCGGGAAGAGCUCAAAUUUGAAAUCUUCAAGGUUUUACCUUGACGAAUUGUAGUUUAAAGAAGUGUUUUCUGUUGAAGUUUUGGUAAAAGUUCUUUGGAAUAGGACAUCAUAGAGGGUGAGAAUCCCGUAUUUGACCAUUACUUUCAGCUUUGUGAUACACUUUCAAAGAGUCGGAUUGUUUGGGAAUGCAGUCCAAAAUGGGUGGUAAAUUUCAUCUAAAGCUAAAUAUUGGCGAGAGACCGAUAGCGAACAAGUACCGUGAGGGAAAGAUGAGAAGAACUUUGAAAAGAGAGUUAAACAGUACGUGAAAUUGUCAAAAGGGAAGCGUUUGACACCAGUGUUGUUUUCUCGAAAAUCAAUUAAAAAGAGUUGGAUUUUGUGUUGUAUUGACUUUAUCAGCUUUCUUCACUCUUUUCCAGCUUUUUUUAAUGCACUUUUCGUUUAACAAGUCAACAUCAGUUUCUUUUGUUGUAAAAAGGUCAUUGGAAGGUGGCUUUCUCUUCGGAGAAAGUGUUUAUAGCCUUUGACUCAUGCAAUCGGAGAGACUGAGGUCUGCAGCGUAGAUCCUUCGGGGUUAGAUACAUUUGUGCUAAGUUAUAGCUUUUCAUAGACAACUUGUUGACUAUGUUUAGUCUUGUAGCUUACUCGCUUAUGCUAUUUUACCUACGCUUAGGAUGUUGAACUCUAUCACACACAG
rnacentral:rRNA from 1 species